UAGGGUACCCUUUGACCCUCCUUAGUUCAAACAAAUGAACUAGUUUUUCAAAAAGUUGUGUUAUUUUAAAAUUUUAGUUCAUUUGGUUAAACUAAGGAGGGUCAAUGGGUACCCUG
rfam:Brachypodium distachyon strain Bd21 chromosome 1, whole genome shotgun sequence.